rnacentral:snRNA from 1 species
GUGCUCACUUCAGCCACACAGAGACUAAAAUUGGAACGACGCAGAGACGACUAGUACAUUCCCAGUGCCAGGAUGACACGAAAAUUUGCAACGCAGUCCAUUUUUUA